rnacentral:lncRNA from 1 species
ACUAACAAUUCUGUUUUCACACUUAUCCAGCCAAGUUGCGAGAGAAACCCCUGAAGUAGUCUAAAACACAUAUUCAGUUAUCAAAAUUUUUGGUCCUCAAGUCACUUUGAUUUUACUAAAAGCAAUCAUUUGAAGGACAUCUUGUCAGCUGGAAUCCCAAACAAACAGACGAGCGUGAAACAGGAGAAAAAAGAACAGAAAAAUAAACGUGAAAGAGCUACAUAAUGUGAGAUACCAUCUACUCAAAAGUGUUUUAAUAAGCAGAUUUUGUUGAUUUAUACAUUUCUAUUGCGUGAAUAGAUUCAUUGGAUCUGUAAAACAACACCGGAUUUUAAGGGAUUUUAAACUACAUUUGCUUAAAGACACGGGGCAUUAUCCAAGGGCUGCCAUUCUGUAUGUUGAUACAGCUGUUGACCUACCAGAACCUACAUACUUGAUGAUAAUAACUCAAAAACUGUCUCUUUACCAGCCUUUAAUCAAGUAGGAAAGAUUUGUUGGAGCUCUCACUGCCUUCUAUAAAACCUGCUGUUUGGUACCCAUGGAAUACCAAAUUCUCACAACUGCUAGGCCACUCGCUAGUGCUGUAUAUCCAUACAAUUCUGUCCCAGACCCUGCCUUGUAUGCCUAGCAACAUGUGAAGAUUUCUAUUUCUAAAUCCAGUCAUUCCAGUUGUACUUAUUACUGUCAUUAUGCAGUCUCAUUAAAUAUUAUUAAAAGCAAUUAUUAUGGAUAUGAAGAACAAAAGAUCUACUUCCUCUACAAAAACCAAAUCAAAUGCAUUGAAAAGAGACAAUAAAGUCAGGUCACCUUAAAAAUAAAUACUGUCAUCUUAAGUUUGACCAAGACAACCAUAAAAGAUUGAGGAAGGAAAUCAGAUCAUUUAAAAAUGGGAAGAAUAGUGGUCUUAGAUUGCUUUGUAAGUUUCUGUAAGUUCCUCCUUCACCUAAGAAACUGAAGCUUCACAUGGCCAAUGAUGCUGUGUAGGUGUCACUUGUCUGUGAGAGCCAAUGAAGAACAUUAAUCAGAAGAACCAAACUCAAGAACAAGGUCAUUUCCUGCUUCACAAGGGCCAUCUUUACUUUGAAAGAUACAGAAAGACUGUGUAUAUCCUUGCUUGUGAUCUUCCCAAUCAGUAGCAUCUGUUUCUAGGUCAGAUGGCAUACAAGUUCCUCCUCUGCUAAGAGUUACUGCUUUUGUGCCUCCCCAAAAAGAUAUAAUAAAAAUAAGAUUGAAUAUGGUCUUUU